GGAUAUUUUGUGCCCUUUUCUAAUACUGACUUUCUCAGUGACGAUGCUGCAAUUUCAGGUCUGCAGAAGAAAACAUUCAUUAAAGGGCAGCUACUCGGUUCCUCUGAAGCAGCCUGGGAUGCCAUGUCUCCAAAAUUGAGGUGUGGUGACGAUCUCAUAAAUUUACAACUCAGUGGUCCAGAGGUAGAAAAUGUUGAGCUUUGUCGAGGUAAUGGGGUGGCUGUUCUUCUCACUCAUUUGCCACCUCACUGUGGACACGCCGCACCCACUUAUACAGGUCUCGUUUAUGCUACUCCCUAUGAUGGAUGUGGUGUUACGCAAAAGG